GAUGAACGCUGGCGGCGUGCUUAACACAUGCAAGUCGAACGGAAAGGCGCGGCUUAUGUGGUGUGCACGAGUGGAGAACGGGUGAGCAACACGGGAGUAUCCUGGCCUUGACUUUGGGAUACCUGGAGGCAAGGGGGGAUAAUACCGGAGAGGCGCUCCUGCUGGAUGUUUGGGGUGGGAAUGGUUCGGCGGUUGGGGAUGGACGCGCGGCUUAUCAGCUUGGUGGUGGGGUAGUGGCUUACCAAGGCUUUGACGGGUAGCCGGCCUGAGCGGGUGACCGGCCACAGUGGGACUGAGAUCCGGCCCAGACUCCUACGGGAGGCAGCAGUGGGGAAUAUUGCACAAUGGGCGGAAGCCUGAUGCAGCAACGCCGCGUGCGGGAUGACGGCCUUCGGGUUGUAAACCGCUUUCGCCUGUGACGAAGCGUGAGUGACGGUAAUGGGUAAAGAAGCACCGGCUAACUCCGUG
rnacentral:rRNA from 1 species